rnacentral:rRNA from 1 species
CGGGGGGGCAAGCGUUGUUCGGAAUUACUGGGCGUAAAGGGCGCGUAGGCGGCCUGCUAAGUCACACGUGAAAUCCCUCGGCUCAACCGGGGAACUGCGUGUGGUACUGGCGGGCUUGAAUUCGGGAGAGGGAUGUGGAAUUCCAGGUGUAGCGGUGAAAUGCGUAGAUAUCUGGAGGAACACCGGUGGCGAAGGCGGCAUCCUGGACCGAGAUUGACGCUGAGGCGCGAAAGCUAGGGGAGCAAACGGGAUUAGAUACCCCGGUAGUCCUAGCCCUAAACGAUGAGUGCUUGGUGUGGCGGGUAUCGAUCCCUGCCGUGCCGAAGCUAACGCAUUAAGCACUCCGCCUGGGGAGUACGGUCGCAAGGCUG